CCGGGGCUUCCGGACGGGCGCGGGGCGCCGGGGGUGACUCAGGGGGCGCUGACUCAGGGGCCGCCGCCCGCCCCGGCCGGGCGCGAGGUCACCUGUGCUCUGCUGGGUCGGGGGCUGCGAACCGCAACCGAAAGAAACCUGGGAAGAGCGGGAUUCUUCGCCCGGCCGCGCUGGGCCCAUGCAGCUCCGGCCCUGGGCGGGGGCUCCGGGGACCCUGCGGGCAUCUCGGGAAUGGCCCAGGACCCGGUUCCGCGGACCCGGGUGCGUCCACCUGCUGGGCGGCUUUUGCAGCAGCCAGGGCAGCCUGGGCCUUGGCUGGGAGUGGGAACCUGGCCGGUCCUCACCGCUUUCCAGUGACCAGGCUCUGCGUUUCCUCCCAGGGCUCCCAAAGCUCUGAGACAUUGCCACAACACCGAAGCCCGGCUGUGAAACAACCCUGACUCUACCGCAGGCUCCGGGUCCCUCGGCGGAAAGGCCGCCUUCAUAGCCACAGAAAAAGUUGUAAGGUCCAGGCGCGGAGCCCAGCCGGCGAUCGCAAAUGGAACGGUUGGCUGGGGCGCAGCGCAUGGAAAUGCCAGUUGGGACCCGCGGCUCUGCCAACAGCGGCGGAUCCGACUGAGAAGCUCGAACUGGUCCAGCACUCAGGAGGCUGAGACAGGAGGAUUGCCAUGUGUUUGAGGCCAGCCUGGGCUACAUAGCAAGACCUUGUCUAAAGAAAACAGAAAACAACAACAACACACAACAGAAACCCCAAAAGUGAUGGUGCUGAAUCUUCUUGGAGAGAGGAUCUCAUAGAAGUACCCGAGUUUAAUGCAAUGGCACAUGAAAAACCAGAUUUACAAGUUUUAGAAGAGCUCAAAAGUGAAUCAUGAAAUUAUUCAUGCAUGGAUGAUGGAGAUGAGACUUUGACAUUGCCCAUGUGAGCUUAAGUUCCUGUGACAGUGAAAUGGAGCAAGAAUCAAGUGAUACACAGAGAAUGCAGACCUCCUGGAUUCAGAUGAGAAGGAAAACAGCAAUGUGAGU
rnacentral:lncRNA from 1 species